rnacentral:rRNA from 1 species
AGUGAACGCUGGCGGUAGGCCUAACACAUGCAAGUCGAACGGCAGCACAGUAAGAGCUUGCUCUUACGGGUGGCGAGUGGCGGACGGGUGAGGAAUACAUCGGAAUCUACUUUUUCGUGGGGGAUAACGUAGGGAAACUUACGCUAAUACCGCAUACGACCUACGGGUGAAAGCAGGGGAUCUUCGGACCUUGCGCGAUUGAAUGAGCCGAUGUCGGAUUAGCUAGUUGGCGGGGUAAAGGCCCACCAAGGCGACGAUCCGUAGCUGGUCUGAGAGGAUGAUCAGCCACACUGGAACUGAGACACGGUCCAGACUCCUACGGGAGGCAGCAGUGGGGAAUUUGGACAAUGGGCGCAAGCCUGAUCCAGCCAUACCGCGUGGGUGAAGAAGGCCUUCGGGUUGUAAAGCCCUUUUGUUGGGAAAGAAAAGCAGCAGGUUAAUACCCCGCUGUUCUGACGGUACCCAAAGAAUAAGCACCGGCUAACUUCGUG